rnacentral:rRNA from 1 species
UACGUAGGUGGCGAGCGUUGUCCGGAUUUACUGGGCGUAAAGGGAGCGUAGGCGGACUUUUAAGUGAGAUGUGAAAUACCCUGGCUCAACUUGGGUGCUGCAUUUCAAACUGGAAGUCUAGAGUGCAGGAGAGGAGAAUGGAAUUCCUAGUGUAGCGGUGAAAUGCGUAGAUAUUAGGAGGAACACCAGUUGCGAAGGCGGCUCUCUGGACUGUAACUGACACUGAGGCACGAAAGCGUGGGGAGCAAACAGGAUUAGAUACCCCGGUA